rnacentral:sRNA from 1 species
CAAUAAUAAUAGAAAAGAGGACAUGCUGGAUACAUGCCCUCAAAAGUAGAACCGUUUAAGACGGUAGCAAAUUUACAGCGUUAAAAAUAA